rnacentral:lncRNA from 1 species
GAUAAAAAAAUCAAACAAAAUACUCUUCUAUCAACAAAAAUUCUUGUUGUCCUAAUUUCUAAACCACAACCCCAAAUCUACAAUAUUUCUCUACAAAAAUGAAAACUUUCCUAAAAUAGAAUUUUUGAGAAUUUUAUUUUUAAAAUACAACCUAUUGAUCAAAAAAUCUAAAAGAAUACUCUUCUAUCAACAAAAUUUUUUCUUAUCCUAAUUUAUAAAUCACA